GUUCCUGUAGCGGAGUGGUUACCGCGUGACUCUUAUAGGUCAAGCAUUUUUCUUGGUUAUAUGUCAAGGUCGAGGGUUCGACCCCCUCCAGGAACA